UUACAUUGAUUUUACUGGGCACAAUAACGUCCAUGCAUGAACAACCUGCAAGGAAGAACAUUUCAUUAGUGGUGGCAUUGCAAAUUGUAGGAAUUAAAGCAACUAAGGUGAGCAGUUUUGACAGUAAAAGACUUUGACAAGCACCAAUGUUAUACCAAUACAAUCAUCAUUUCUUUCCACUGUUGAAAAAAAAUGUUUUAAAAAAGCUUCAGUCGGGUUCUUUUCUAUCCAGAAAAUACUGUUGUGGCAGAAUCCAUGCUAAUGUCUCUGAGGGCUACCGUCGGUUAAAAGCUUACAGCAGUUAUUUUUGCUUUCGAGACGUCUAAACCACGCCCUUAUCUAUUCCAAAGGACAGAUUGGUCCUGUCAUUUCUGACAAGCCACCAUCGAUCGAGCCUGAAAUCGCUAGAAGCGAAAUGUGUUCCACUGGCUUCAGUUGAAUUGGCUGAUGCAAAUGGAAGUCAUCGGGUUGCUCCGACUGCCCAGAUACAUGCUACCCGGAAGUCCUGCCAAGGGACCAUCAGACAAUGUACUCUCACAUCGAAAGUCUCCUUGAAGUUUCACGACAUAUGUUCGCUUGAAAAAUUCCCUUUUAUGGAGGUUCCUGGGGUGAAACCACCUGCUGACAAUUGCUCAUCAGGGCCUGAUCAGUCUAUUGGUUGACACACUCAGGCAUCGGACUCUUGGCGUGGAGAACCGUAGCAGCUUCUUACUAAGUUAUGAACUUCAUAUUUGACACGGCCACCACAAUGGCAUGUCAAAACCCCUGCCGCAGAUAGUAUUGCCGCAAACUACCAGCCAACAGCUCAAUGUCUGGGCUAUAUUGCUAUUCUUUAAUAGUGAUGUGCCAAGAAAGGUAAGAAAGUAAGUAACAUUGUGUUUGAGUGUAUGUUUGUUUACAAAAAUAGGUGCCGGCGAUCUACAGAAAAUUAACUCCAGCAAUGCACCAUCGGUCGUGGGGGGCAGAGCAGAAUUCAACCUCACGCCUCAAGCCAAGAGGAGCCAUCCAGUGCUGCCGAUCUGCAGUUUGUGCCCCCAAAGCAGUCAUGUCAGCUCCCACUGCACACUGAGGUGCAAUGCCACCCGGGUGGAUCUCAUCCUGUUUUACAGAGCGGGAUCUAAAAUGUAAAGAUGUCUUAAUUGUCAUUAAAUUGCAGUCAAGCCUCUUUGGGAUUUAUACCUGUUAGUGUGUCAGAAUGUGUGAUGGCAGAGCAAUGUGUGAUAAGUUAAACAAAACCUUCAAGGAUGAUUAUAUGUCGGACAAACAAGCAGUUUGAGGCCAAUCGACGACAGAUUGACAGCCACACAAGCUGGCCACAGUUAUCAUCGGUCACCCUUGUGAUGGCCGAGGGUGGAAUUGAACUCCGGUCUCCGAGCUGUGAGGCCUGCGUGCUAACUAGUUGGCCGCCAUGCAGCCUCUCCAAAAUAUGUCAGCAUCAAUUCAUUAAAAUAAGUAAUCACAUUCAUAAUAGUCUUGUAACUGCAGCUGUAAUGCGGAGUAUAUUUUGAAAUCCAUGCUUUUAAUUUGAAACGUACCAAAAAGGAAGUUGUUCUGUUAAGCCUUAAACUUAACACAGAGACUGCUGGCACGUGUCGUUUAUUCGUACUUAAGAGAACACUAAGUAAAAAUGAACGCAUGUGGCAUUUACUGUUAAAUAAGUGUACAACGGAUUUAGAGUUUUGCAGUUAUAGAUAAGUCAUCACAUUCAUAAUAAUCUUGUAACUGCAGCUGUAAUGCGGAGUAUAUUUUGAAAUGCAUGCUUUUAAUUUGAAACGUACCAAAAAAGAAGUUGUUCUGUUAAGCCUUAAACUUAACAUAGAGACUGCUGUGUCGUUUCGGUGUCAUUUAUUCGUACUUAAGAAGAGAACAAUAAGUAAAAAUCAAGAGAGACAGACUGCACACAAGGACAAGGACGGAGCAUAAAAGACAGAUCAUAAGGAAGGUUUGUUCGAAGACUGGUGGUCAUCCAGUUGGGCUCUUAAAUCCACUGGGAUAAUACUGGGGCGAAGUCGCAAAUGUCAGCGAGGUGUUAAUUGAUGCUGCCUGCCCUCGAUAUUGUGAAAAAGCACUCACUAUGUGUGUAUGUGCUUGCCCGUGGCUGUGUGGAAAAAGCACUAAUGUAGCUGUGUCUUCAGUGGACCAGUGCUUUGGGUCUGUCUGGUCUACUGAGACAAUCUUUCCAGUGACCCGGUGUGUCAUCAGAAUAACAGCGUUAGGGACUUUGGCUGCUGGCUCGGAGCUCGGCAAAGAGGGACAAUGACUGAGGUCCAAGUGCAUUCAUGGAAUCAGGUGCAGUCAGGCAUGCUUUCCCCUGGCAUCUCUGACUUGAAACUUGUACUCAUUCCUGAUCCUAUCCAUCCUGGUCACUCCCAAUGAGAAACUCAGCAUCCUCUUAUUUGGUAUCUCCAGUUCUGCUUCCUGUCUUUUCCUCAGUGUGCACCACCUAAGCAUAAUGCUUUAACUGUUGAGCCCCCCCCCCCCAAAAAAUACAAGUUUAAAUAAUGAUUCUAGUUGUAACUGCUAUUAUAAUCAGUUAUGUUGAUGUGUACUUAUGUGUUAAAAACAUGUAAAAUAGACUAUAGAUUGGAGUACAGUCAAUUAUUUUUACGUUUAUGCUAAAGAACUAAUGAGAGAGGCGGGAUACACCCUGUACUGGUCGCCAGCCAAUCACAGGGCACAUCUAGACAAACAACCAUUCACACUCACAUUCAUACCUAUGGACAAUUUGGAGUCGCCAAUUAACCUAGCAUGUUUUUGGAAUUUGGGAGGAAACCGGAGUUCCCCGACGGGAAGAAAACAUGCAAACUCCACACAGAGAUUGCUGAGGGUGCAAAUAAAACAUAUGAAUCAUUAAAAACAGAAAGGAAAUGUCAUAUCUGAAAGUCUUAAGGAAUAAACACUACAUGAUUA